rnacentral:rRNA from 1 species
UACAGAGGGUGCGAGCGUUGUCCGGAAUCACUGGGCGUAAAGGGCGCGUAGGCGGCAGGCCAAGCGUGCGGUGAAAGUCCGGGGCUCAACCCCGGAUCUGCCGUGCGGACUGGUUUGCUGGAGCACUGUAGAGGCGAGUGGAAUUCCGGGUGUAGCGGUGGAAUGCGUAGAGAUCCGGAAGAACACCGGUGGCGAAGGCGGCUCGCUGGGCAGUGGCUGACGCUGAGGCGCGAAAGUGUGGGGAGCGAACAGG